GGCCUCGGCCCCGCCCCCGGCUCCUCAUUGGAGGGCGCGCUCCCCUCGUGACCACCGGCACCUCACGUUUCUGAAGUGUGUUUACUACACUGGCUCCGAGGGGGAAUCUGCUCGCGCUUCGGUCGCUUUUGGAGGAGCGGCAGCCGCUUGAUCCCAAAACUGUUGACCCUCGUCCACACGCUGAACUCACUGCCUCUGCCCCUUUCCUGUGCCGACUGGUGGCCGUCCCUUGGAGGCAAAUCGCGUUGACCACAGGCCCCUUGUGAGGGAAGGCUUAGCCCCGCCCCCAGGGGCCAUGAGCGGCCACCAUUGGCCGAGGCUCACUGAGACCCGGAUGAGCACGGGGAUGCGGGGAGCUUGCGGGCGCGCGCGCUGCUCCGGGAGGCGCGCGUGCGCUCUCGCGGCGUUCCAGAGGGGGCUUUUCCCCCUUUUGCUUAGCACUUCUCCUUGCUGCCUCUAUGUGAAGAAGGAUGUGUUGGCUUCCCCUUCUACCGUGAUGAUCAGUUUCCUGAGGCCUCCCCAGCCAUGCUGAACUGCUCAUAGAUGGAAGGGACUUGCCUUGUCUCAGGCAAUUUGAAAGUAAGCAGAUUGUGUCUAAAGACAUAAGAAUUGUUUUCAAGCAUCCAAAUGAAACAGUGGGAGGUGCAGAGAAUAUUGAUUUGUAUAGAGUUGACUUAUGUUUGUGGAUUGUUCAUUCAAUAAAGACAGAGUUUUUUUUAAAACA